CAAUAGCGUAUAUUAAAGUUGUUGCAGUUAAAAAGCUCGUAGUUGGAUUUCUGGCAGGAGCGACCGGUCACACACUCUGUGUGUGAACUUGCGUUGUCUCUGGCCAUCCUUGGGAAGAUCCUGUUUGGCAUUAAGUUGUCGGGCAGGGGAUACCCAUCGUUUACUGUGAAAAAAUUAGAGUGUUUAAAGCAGGCUUAUGCCGUUGAAUAUAUUAGCAUGGAAUAAUAAGAUAGGACUUCGGAACUAUUUUGUUGGUUUGCGUUACGAAGUAAUGAUUAAUAGGGACAGUUGGGGGUAUUCGUAUUUCGUUGUCAGAGGUGAAAUUCUUGGAUUUCCGAAAGACGAACUACUGCGAAAGCAUUUACCAAGGAUGUUUUCGUUAA
rnacentral:rRNA from 1 species